GUAGGUGGCAAGCGUUGUCCGGAAUUAUUGGGCGUAAAGCGCGCGCAGGCGGUUCUUUAAGUCUGAUGUGAAAGCCCACGGCUCAACCGUGGAGGGUCAUUGGGAACUGGAGAACUUGAGUACAGAAGAGGAAAGCGGAAUUCCACGUGUAGCGGUGAAAUGCGUAGAGAUGUGGAGGAACACCAGUGGCGAAGGCGGCUUUCUGGUCUGUAACUGACGCUGAGGCGCGAAAGCGUGGGGAGCAAACAGGGAUUAGAUACCCUGGUAGUCCACGCCGUAAACGAUGAGUGCUAAGUGUUAGGGGGUUUCCGCCCCCUUAGUGCUGCAGCUAACGCAUUAAGCACUCCGCCUGGGGAGUACGGCCGCAAGGCUG
rnacentral:rRNA from 1 species